rnacentral:rRNA from 1 species
UUCCGGUUGAUCUUGCCGGAGGUUACUGCUAUCGAGGUUCGACUAAGCCAUGCGAGUCGAAUGUCCGUAAGGACAUGGCGAACUGCUCAGUAACACGUGGACAACCUGCCCUUUGGACAGGGAUACCCCUGGGAAACUGGGACUAAUCCCUGAUAAGUCUCCGUAGCUGGAAUGCUCGGAGACGGAAAGCUCCGGCGCCACAGGAUGGGUCUGCGGCCUAUCAGGGUAGUAGUGGGUGUAGAGUACCUACUAGCCUACGACGGGUACGGGUUGUGAGAGCAGGAGCCCGGAGAUGGAUUCUGAGACACGAAUCCAGGCCCUACGGGGUGCAGCAGGCGCGAAAACUUUACAAUGCGGGACACCGCGAUAAGGGGACCUCGAGUGCUGGCAUACAAUGCUGGCUGUCCAGCUGCCUAAAUAGCAGUUGAUAGCAAGGGCCGGGCAAGACCGGUGCCAGCCGCCGCGGUAACACCGGCGGCUCGAGUGGUAACCGCUAUUAUUGGGUCUAAAGGGUCUGUGGCCUGCAGGUUAAGUCUCUUGGUAAAUCCGGCAGCUCAACUGUCGGGGUUCAGGGGAUACUGGUCUGCUCGGGACCGGGAGAGGUGAGAGGUACCUCAGGGGCAGGGGUGUAAAUCUUGUA